UACGGGCGGGGCAAGCGUUACUCGGAAUCACUGGGCGUAAAGGGUGCGUAGGUGGUAUUGUAAGUAAAGUGUUAAAGCUCCAAGCCCAACUUGGAUAUGCACUUUAUACUGCAAUGCUAGAGUUUGAGAGAGGAGAUAAGAAUUUCUGAAGUAGCGGUGAAAUGCGUUGAUCUCAGAAGGAAUACCAAAGGCGAAAGCAAGUCUCUGGCUCAAUACUGACACUAAGGCACGAAAGCGUGGGGAGCAAACAGG
rnacentral:rRNA from 1 species